rfam:Schistosoma rodhaini strain Burundi genome assembly, scaffold: SROB_scaffold0001441
GCACUGCUGAGGAGUCCCAUAAUAGGACGAAACGGCCGUCCAUUGU